UGAAAACACUGGUGUGUUCGCCAGAGGAAGCCAGACAUGUUGGAGAACAUUUGGUAUGCAGCACACCCAGAAGAACAACAUGUCACUGUGGCCAACACCAAGUAGUGGUUGCUCAUUUUUCUCAGACGAGUGUGAAUCUGCUCCGUAGACAGCAGGUGAUGUCUUCAAUUCUAACAAGGUUGCCAUGUUUGAGGAAAUGUGCUGUGUUGCUGUGCUGAGUGUUACUGCUGUGGAGGUCUAAUGUGACUGUUUAUUGAUGUGGAUUCCAUCAUAUGUGUUCAUUGUUUGUUCAGGAGGUUCACUAGACCAUGCAGCAUUUUGGGUCCCUCUAAGUAAGUACCGUAUAGAAUACAUGAUUCAACUAUUUUUCUAGAGUGAUCAUCUGAGCAAGUCCAUCAGGUGUCAUUCUUUCUCACCAUUCUCUGUCUCCUUUCACUUUUUAAAGGUUGCCAUGUUUGAGGAAAUUUGCUGUUUUGCUGUGCUGAGUGUUACUGCUGUGGAGGUCUAAGGUGACUGUUUAUUGAUGUGAUGAGUACAUAGACAGUACAUAGUACAUACACCUCUAUUCCUCUCUGUCCUAAUUUCAGGAUCCCAUCAUACGUUGUACAUUGUUCAGGAGGUUAACUAGACCAAGCAGCCUUUAGGUUUCCGCUAAGUACUGUAUAGAAUAACGUGAUUGGGAGGAUGGUAUAGGUUUAAGUUUAUUAGACAAGUACAUAUACAUCAACAAGACAGUGUACAAGCAUUGUCACAAGAAAGUUUGUUUUCAUUCAUAGUCUUGUCUUUCCAUCAAUACCUGGUGGGCCGGUCUCGGCUCAAAAUGCCCGGGCCAAUUUUCUGUCCCAGUCCAGCCCUGGUAAAUUCAGUCAAUAAAUAC
rnacentral:lncRNA from 1 species